AGAAUCAACGCUGGCGGCGUGCCUAACACAUGCAAGUCGAACGAGAAAGUGGAGCAAUCCAUGAGUAAAGUGGCGCACGGGUGAGUAACACGUGACUAACCUACCUUUUAGUGGGGGAUAACCUAGGGAAACCUGGGCUAAUACCGCAUAAUACCUACGGGUCAAAGCAGCAAUGCGCUGAAAGAGGGGGUCGCGGUCGAUUAGUUAGUUGGCAGGGUAAUGGCCUACCAAGACUGUGAUCGAUAUCCGGCCUGAGAGGGCGCACGGACACACUGGAACUGAAACACGGUCCAGACUCCUACGGGAGGCAGCAGUGGGGAAUUUUGCGCAAUGGGGGAAACCCUGACGCAGCAACGCCGCGUGGAGGAUGAAGUCCCUUGGGACGUAAACUCCUUUCGAUCGGGACGAUAAUGACGGUACCGGAAGAAGAGCCCCGGCUAACUUCGUGCCAGCAGCCGC
rnacentral:rRNA from 1 species